UACGUAGGGCGCAAGUGUUAUCCGGAAUUAUUGGGCGUAAAGAGCUCGUAGGCGGUUUGUCGCGUCUGCCGUGAAAGUCCGGGGCUUAACUCCGGAUCUGCGGUGGGUACGGGCAGACUAGAGUGCAGUAGGGGAGACUGGAAUUCCUGGUGUAGCGGUGAAAUGCGCAGAUAUCAGGAGGAACACCGAUGGCGAAGGCAGGUCUCUGGGCUGUAACUGACGCUGAGGAGCGAAAGCAUGGGGAGCGAACAGG
rnacentral:rRNA from 1 species